rnacentral:rRNA from 1 species
UACGAAGGGUGCAAGCGUUAGUCGGAAUUACUGGGCGUAAAGGGCGCGUAGGCGGCCUCUUAAGUCGAACGUGAAAUCCCCGGGCUCAACCCGGGAACUGCGUCCGAUACUGGGGGGCUUGAAUCCGGGAGAGGGAUGUGGAAUUCCAGGUGUAGCGGUGAAAUGCGUAGAUAUCUGGAGGAACACCGGUGGCGAAGGCGGCAUCCUGGACCGGUAUUGACGCUGAGGCGCGAAAGCCAGGGGAGCAAACGGG